rnacentral:rRNA from 1 species
AGCUAGUUGUAUUUAACUAAUAGUUAAUACAAGAUCGACUAUGUCGACUAAAGUUCUAGGUAGAAUAAUGAUGAUGACAAUUUUCUACCUAUAUGUCUUGACCAAAUCUCGUGCCAGCAGUCGCGGUAAUACGUGAAAGACUAGUGUUAUUCAUCUUUAAUAGGUUUAAAGGGUACCUAGACGGUUUAUCUAGCCCAAAACAGGGUACGGAUUUUCUAGAGUUUUAUGUGAGGAGGGGAGUACUCAUAGAGUAGAGAUGAAAUUUUGUGAUACUAUGAGGAAACUGGUGGCGGCGAAAGCAACCUUCUAUGUAUAAACUGACGUUGAGGGACGAAGGCUUGGGUAGCAAAUAGGAUUAGAUACCCUAGUAGUCCAAGCAGACAAUUCUGAAUGUCAUAGAUUAGAUUUUUUUUGGUCUAUAAAUGAAAGUGUAAGCAUUCCACCUUAGGAGUAAUGUGGCAACACAGGAACUGAAAUCAUUAGACCGUUUCUGAAACCAGUAGUGAAGUAUGUUAUUUAAUUUGUUAGUCCUCAAAAAACCUUACCACAACUUGAAUGUUAUUUAAUUAAUACAAGCGUUGCACGGCUGUCUUCAGUUAAUGUCGUGAGAUUUUGGUUAACUCCCUCAAUUAACGUAAACCCUUACUUU